rnacentral:rRNA from 1 species
AGUGAACGCUGGCGGUAGGCCUAACACAUGCAAGUCGAACGGCAGCACAGUAAGAGCUUGCUCUUACGGGUGGCGAGUGGCGGACGGGUGAGGAAUACAUCGGAAUCUACUUUUUCGUGGGGGAUAACGUAGGGAAACUUACGCUAAUACCGCAUACGACCUACGGGUGAAAGCAGGGGAUCUUCGGACCUUGCGCGAUUGAAUGAGCCGAUGUCGGAUUAGCUAGUUGGCGGGGUAAAGGCCCACCAAGGCGACGAUCCGUAGCUGGUCUGAGAGGAUGAUCAGCCACACUGGAACUGAGACACGGUCAAGACUCCUACGGGAGGCAGCAGUGGGGGAUAUUGGACAAUGGGCGCAAGCCUGAUCCAGCCAUACCGCGUGGGUGAAGAAGGCCUUCGGGUUGUAAAGCCCUUUUGUUGGGAAAGAAAAGCAGCAGGUUAAUACCCCGCUGUUCUGACGGUACCCAAAGAAUAAGCACCGGCUAACUUCGUG